rnacentral:lncRNA from 10 species
CACAAUGGUAAGAAUGGUGUCUGUCCUGCUGUCUCUGCUGCUGCUUCUGGGUCCUGCUGUCCUCCAGGAGACCCGAGAUGGUCAUUACUCUCUGACCUAUCUCUACACUGGGCUGUCCAGGUCUGGCAAAGGCACCCACAGGCUGCAGGGAAAGGUUUGGUUGUGAGAUCCAGAAUAACAGAAGCACUGGAGCAUUCUGGAAGAAUGCCUAUGAUGGAAAGGACUACAUUGAAUUCAACAAAGAAAUCCCAGCCUGAGUCCCCUUGGUCCCGGAAGCCCAGAACACCAAGCAGAAGUAGGAGGCAGAACCAGUCUACGUGCAGCGGGCCAAGGCUUACCUGGAGGAGGAGUGCCCUGCAACUCUGCGGAAAUACCUGAAAUACAGCGAAAAUAUCCUGGACCGGCAAGAUCCUCCCUCUGUGGUGGUCACCAGCCACCAGGCCCCAGGAGAAAAGAAGAA